rnacentral:rRNA from 1 species
GACAGAGGGUGCAAACGUUGUUCGGAAUUACUGGGCGUAAAGCGCGUGUAGGCUGCUCGAACAGUCGGGCGUGAAAGCCCUGGGCUCAACCCAGGAAGUGCAUUCGAUACUGCCGAGCUUGAGUCCUGGAGAGGAAGGCGGAAUUCUCGGUGUAGAGGUGAAAUUCGUAGAUAUCGAGAGGAACACCGGUGGCGAAGGCGGCCUUCUGGACAGUGACUGACGCUGAGACGCGAAAGCGUGGGGAGCAAACAGG